UAUAGUCACAGAACACCCUAUCUAUAGAUAGGGUGUUCUGUGAUAUAGUACUAAUAAUACAAAAAUAAAACUCAAGGUUGAAUAUGAAUAUCGCUUCCAGUGAAAUCGGGUCAUCGACGUUCUCUUGUGGUAAAAUUAAAGCACAGCAGUCAGCUAGAGUCGAAUAUAACCGCUUAAGAUUUAUUGGCUGUUGCGACCAAUGAACCAACAA